rnacentral:tRNA from 1 species
GAGGAACUGUGGCUCAGUGGUUAACGCCUCUGACUUGCAGGCAGAAGAUCCCAGGUUCAAUCCCCCGCAUCUUCA